AUUGAACGCUGGCGGCAGGCCUAACACAUGCAAGUCGAACGAGUGGCGGACGGGUGAGUAAUGUCUGGGAAACUGCCUGAGGGAGGGGGAUAACUAAUGGAAACGGUAGCUAAUAACGCAUACCAUCGGAUGUGCCCAGAUGGGAUUAGCUAGUAGGUGGGGUAACGGCUAACCUAGGCGACGAUCCCUAGCUGGUCUGAGAGGAUGACCAGCCACACUGGAACUGAGAAACGGUCCAGACUCCGACGGGAGGCAGCAGUGGGGAAUAUUGCACAAUGGGCGCAAGCCUGAUGCAGCCAUGCCGCGUGUAUGAAGAAGGCCUUCGGGUUGUAAAGUACUUUCAGCGGGGAGGCGUUACCCGCAGAAGAAGCACCGGCUAACUCCGUGCCAGCAGCCGCGGUAAUAC
rnacentral:rRNA from 1 species